UGGCGAGUUUGAUCUUGGCUCAGGACGAACGUUGGCGGCGUGCUUUAUGCAUGCAAGUCGAACGAUCUCGCAGCUUCGGCUGCAAUGAGAUAGUGGCGAACGGCUGAGUAACACGUAAGCAACCUGCCCUUCGGUGGGGGACAACUCCGGGAAACUGGAGCUAAUACCGCAUAAUAUGGCUUCUCGUAUGGGAUGCCAUCAAAGCCUUCGGGCGCCGUUGGAGGGGCUUGCGGCCUAUCAGCUUGUUGGUGGGGUAACGGCCUACCAAGGCGACGACGGGUAGCUGGUCUGAGAGGAUGAUCAGUCAGAGGGGGACUGCGACACGGCCCCCACUCCUACGGGAGGCAGCAGCAAGGAAUCUUGCGCAAUGGGCGAAAGCCUGACGCAGCGACGCCGCGUGGAGGAUGAAGGCCCUAGGGUUGUAAACUCCUUUUCUGGGAGAAGAAGUUCUGACGGUAUCCCAGGAAUAAGCUCCGGCUAACUACGUGCCAGCAGCCGCGGUAAUACGUAGGGAGCGA
rnacentral:rRNA from 1 species